rnacentral:sRNA from 2 species
ACUUUCCUCUUUGGGGAGUAGCCUACUUUCAACUUAGCGCGAAAGGGUUGCGUCAACAUUCUUGGCUCCAAAGCCAUGGCGCAAGCGGCCGAAAGGCAUGGCGAGACGAUAGACUUUUCCAGUACGCU